rnacentral:rRNA from 1 species
CGAAAGCCUGACGGAGCAACGCCGCGUGAGGGAUGAAGGCCUCUGGGCUGUAAACCUCUUUUCUCAAGGAAGAAGAUCUGACGGUACUUGAGGAAUAAGUCACGGCUAAUUCCGUGCCAGCAGCCGCGGUAAUACGGGAGUGGCAAGCGUUAUCCGGAAUUAUUGGGCGUAAAGCGUCCGCAGGCGGUUCUGUAAGUCUGCCGUUAAAGCGUGGAGCUUAACUCCAUUUCGGCGGUGGAAACUGCAGGACUUGAGUGUGGUAGGGGCAGAGGGAAUUCCCGGUGUAGCGGUGAAAUGCGUAGAUAUCGGGAAGAACACCAGUGGCGAAAGCGCUCUGCUGGGCCAUAACUGACGCUCAUGGACGAAAGCCAGGGGAGCG